CCAAUAGCGUAUCUUAAAGUUGUUGCAGUUAAAAAGCUCGUAGUUGAAUUUCGGGAUCAAUAUUUCGGUCAUGCCGGUGGUAUGCACUGUUAUCAUUGAUUUCUCACCUUCUAAAGAACCGUAAUGCCAUUAAUUUGGUGUUACGGGGACUUAGGACUGUUACCUUGAAAAAAUUAGAGUGUUUAAAGCAGGCUCACGCUUGAAUACAUUAGCAUGGAAUAAUGAAAUAGGACAUCCGAUUCUAUUUUGUUGGUUUCUAGGAUCGAUGUAAUGAUUAAUAGGGAUAGUUAGGGGCAUUAGUAUUCAAUUGUCAGAGGUGAAAUUCUUGGAUUUAUUGAAGACUAAGUACUGCGAAAGCAUUUGCCAAGGAUGUUUUCAUUAAUCAAGAACGAAAGUUAGGGGAUCGAAGACGAUCAGAUACCGUCGUAGUCUGAACCAUAAACUAUGCCGACUAGGGAUCGGAUGAUGUUAAUUUUUUAAUGACUCAUUCGGCGCCUUACG
rnacentral:rRNA from 1 species